GAUGAACGCUGGCGGCGUGCCUAAUACAUGCAAGUCGAGCGAACAGACGAGGAGCUUGCUCCUCUGACGUUAGCGGCGGACGGGUGAGUAACACGUGGAUAACCUAUCUAUAAGACUGGGAUAACUUCGGGAAACCGGAGCUAAUACCGGAUAAUAUAUUGAACCGCAUGGUUCAAUAGUGAAAGACGGUUUUGCUGUCACUUAUAGAUGGAUCCGCGCCGCAUUAGCUAGUUGGUAAGGUAACGGCUUACCAAGGCGACGAUGCGUAGCCGACCUGAGAGGGUGAUCGGCCACACUGGAACUGAGACACGGUCCAGACUCCUACGGGAGGCAGCAGUAGGGAAUCUUCCGCAAUGGGCGAAAGCCUGACGGAGCAACGCCGCGUGAGUGAUGAAGGUCCUCGGAUCGUAAAACUCUGUUAUUAGGGAAGAACAAAUGUGUAAGUAACUAUGCACGUCUUGACGGUACCUAAUCAGAAAGCCACGGCUAACUACGUG
rnacentral:rRNA from 1 species